AACUUUGCACAGGGGCAGUAUCAUAGCCAAUGAGGUUUAUCCGAGGCGUGGUUAUUGCUAAUUGAAUGAAUAAAUGAAUAUUCACCUAGUGUCCUUGUACAGUCAAGUAUUAUUAGUUUUAACUCCUUUAAUUUGCAGAUAAAG